CACUCCUCCUCCCGCGCCCUUCGCCGCCCCGUCCCGCGCCCUUCGCCGCCUGCCGCUGGAGCCGUCGCGGGUAUAGCCGGAGCCGCGCCCCGCCCCCCGCGCCCUUCGCCGCCCGCCGCUGGAGCCACCGCGGGUAGAGCCGGAGCCGCCCCGCCCCCCGCGCCCUUCGCCGCCCACUGCUGGAGCUGCCGCGGGUAGAGCCGGAGCCGCCCCCGCCCGCAGGGGUCGCGUCGGAGCUGCCCCACAGCUGGAGCCGCCGCAGGUCGCGUCGGAACCGGCCCGCCACUGGAGCCGCCGCUGGAACCGUCGCAGGUCACAUCGAAGCCGCCCCGUCGCUGGAACCGCCGCAGGUCGCGCUGGAGCCGCCCGCCGUGAGCCGCUGGUCUCCGUUGGCCUUUUACACACCUCCACGAGCAAGCGACCCACGCGCCACACCACUCUCCGCUGCACCAGUGAGGAAGUGAUGGUGCAUGAGGACGAGCUUCCUGGACAAGAAGAUCUCCGUACUCUUCUCGGUGAUGCAAAGUUGAGCUGCAGAUCAUCUAUAUUGAUUCUGGAGACCGAUUCUUGGUGCUGCUGCAGAUCGUCUACAUUGAUUCUGGACGCCGAUUCUUCAUUUACCCUUCUUAUUACCAUUUGCUAACUUAAUCACCUCUCUCUCAUGUUGGUUCUGAAGAUCUUUUAUGUGUCAUGUCGACAAAGGCGUUUGAUAAGAGAUCCAAGCAGGCUACAUGUGAGGUGAAUCAAGGUAAUCUAUAUGAUGUAGUCCAGGAGCCGCCCUUCGUCGUGGUCCGCAGGUCGCUGAGCCGCUGCCCCGGAGCCGCCCUUCGACGCGGCCCGCAGGUUCCCCAGCCGCCGCCCCGGAGCCACCCUUCGCCGCAGGUCGCCGCCGCCGGAGCCGUCCUUCGCCACAUGUCUCCUCCCUGCUGGCCGUCCUGCCCUCCACAGCUCUUAUCUUCAAGCUCAA